GGACUGAAGCGAGUGUGGAAGACGGGGUUUUCCUUUUUUGCUCAAUUGAAAAACAUUCUCUUCCUCUUCCUUCAUUGAUAGUACAGGGAUACCAGGACUCAUCCGGAUCCUGGAUCCACUCAGUUGCCUCACAGUAAAUCUCGCCCUGGUCUGAAUGCUGCAGCUGGAAGAUGGUCAGCUGGAACCAGGAGAUGGACAGGUGCGUGUGCUGGGAAGUUCGCUUCGACACGUCACAGGACAGACUGAGGGACUCUCCUGCAGCUCU